UUACGGCCAUAUUACUUUGACACACCGGUUCUCGUACGAUCACCGAAGUUAAGCAACAUAGAACCUGGUCAGUACCUAGACGGGUGACCACCUGGCAAUAUCAGGUCUUGUAA